GGGUUUUUUAAUUCCAGGUUUGGUCGAAUUGCCCUUUUAAGGCAAUGGAUUUUUUUUUGUUAGAUAUAUUGCCCUUUUAAAAUGGUGUGGUGUUGGCGGAAGUGUGUGGCUGUGCAUUGUGGGGUUAGGCGUGUAUGUAUGUAUGUGUGGAGACAGGCAACAGUCGGGGACUGGGGCAAGAAAUGUAGCCGAGAGUGUUUGCUACAGAGUCAGGAGUAGCGAGGUGCAAACAUGUUGCAACAGGAGUGUUGAACAGCUACACGGCGCGGCAAGGGAGGAGAGACACUGAUACCAAGAACAACAACACAAAAAAGGACUCUAUCCCACCCUGAACUGGCAGCUUUGUAACUCUGCCUUUACAUUUCAAAGGAAGCGAAAAAGGCGGAGAGAGAGAGAGAAUCUGUGUGUGUGGAACCAGAAAAACGCCAGACCAGGAAAUUAGUCUUUCGAGCCGCGAAAGACUGCAAGAGGUUAAGUUCCACCGAAGCUGAACAUGAGUGAGAGCAGUAUCUG